UACGUAGGGGGCGGCGUUAUCCGGAUUUACUGGGUGUAAAGGGAGCGUAGACGGUUUUGCAAGUCUGAAGUGAAAGCCCGGGGCCCAACCCCGGAACUGCUUUGGAAACUGUAGGACUAGAGUGCAGGAGAGGUAAGUGGAAUUCCUAGUGUAGCGGUGAAAUGCGUAGAUAUUAGGAGGAACACCAGUGGCGAAGGCGGCUUACUGGACUGUAACUGACGUUGAGGCUCGAAGGCGUGGGGAGCAAACA
rnacentral:rRNA from 1 species